GCCAGCCGCCAUGUCUCCCUGCAACUCACAGCUGAGCCCACUAAAGCUCAGCAGGUGUGAGCCUGGUCAGUACCUGGAGGGGAGACCUCCUGGGAAAAACUAGGGUCGCUGCUGGAA
rnacentral:rRNA from 1 species